rnacentral:tRNA from 2 species
GGAGAGGUGCUAGAGCGGUUGAAUAGGCUGGUCUCGAAAACCAGUGUGCCCUUUGGGUACCGUGGGUUCGAAUCCCACCCUCUCCGCCA